rfam:Oryza glumipatula chromosome 2, whole genome shotgun sequence.
AAUAAGUGCAGUUUUACACUAUUUAUAUCCAACGUUUGACCAUUCGUCUUAUUUGAAAUUUUUUUGUGAUUAGUAUUUUUAUUGUUAUUAGAUGAUAAAACAUGAACAAUACUUUAUGGGUGACUAUUUUUUUAAAAAAAUUUCAUAAAUUUUUCAAAUUAGACGAACGGUCAAAUGUUGGACACGGAUCACCACGACUGCACUUAUU